GUGCUUGCUUUGACAGCACGUAUACUAAUAUUGGAAUGAUACCGGGAAGAUUAGCAUUACCCUGCACAGGGAUGAAGAGUAGGGUUUUAAAUUUUCAUAAACUUCA
rnacentral:snRNA from 1 species